rnacentral:sRNA from 1 species
AAAAAAAAAGAACCAAAAAAAAAAGUUAUGGGUCUCAGUAGCCAGCAAUCCAGAGAGGCAAGGUCAAACCAUAUACUUCACUCUGCACCAAGCUGAAUACCUUGCAAAGAUUCCUCUUGAUUGAGGAGGAGCAGCAACAGCAACAAGUGUAGGAGGAAGAAACUCCUGCUGAGUGCUGGAAGGCAGCAAGAUAGGUUAUUGGAAGACACACAAAAGAGAUACUGAAAUAAAAAUCUUGCAUCUCUGAGAAGGAUAAGCUCCCUGACUAGAAUCCUGGGCCAGAAACGCUAUGCUGUGUGCCUUCAGCAAACUCCAAUCCUGCGGGAGGGGUCAUGUCACUCAAGAUUCACUGGCCAAUCAGGGCCUCCAGGCAGGGCGUCCACUAGUAGAAGAGGAGUGUACUUCCUGGUGCCCUGUUUCCAGCAGCCAAUUUACCUGAGUUGCUUAGCGGGCUUGACUGAUUGGCCUGUUGUGUUUUGAUGUCUGCUGCCUGGUGUCUUAUGGACGUGCUGGCAAUCUACUAAGUCGGGACAUGGGAACUGGGCUGCUCUAACUUCCAGCCUGGUAGUUGAAGUCACAGGGAGAAAAGUGACAGACACACUUUGAAAGGUGACUUUAAUGUUUAUUUCCAAGUUUUUCUCAAACGUUGUCUA